AUGUCAAAGAUUAAUGUGGAUGCAGCAGUUGCAGAAAGGCGCGGCGUGGGAACCAUUGCAGCUAUAACAAGAGACGAGCAUGGCUAGUUCUUGGGGGCGUCUACACUGGGCUUCACGUCGAUCACCAACCCGACCAUCCUGGAAGCUUUGGCAGUGAGGGAAGCACUAGCAUUGGCGGAAGAUCUGAAUUUGCAGUCAAUACAUAUUGCCUCCGAUUGCAAAGAGGUGAUAGAUAGCAUCAAGGAGAAGAACAGGGCGGAAUAUGGAGCGAUCGUGCAUGAAAUCAUAGCCUACUCUAGCAGUUUUUAUUCCUGUAAUUUCAUUCAUGAAUUUAGGAGCUCCAAUAUGGAGGCUCACAAUUUAGCAAAGCAUGCUUUGAAACUCGGGGCCGGCCGCUGUGUGUGGUUAGGUCAUCAUGGAAACAUCUCUUUCGUCCCGGCUCAACUGGUGACGACGUAA
rnacentral:rRNA from 1 species